rnacentral:rRNA from 1 species
GACAGCAGUCGCCGCGGUAAUACAGAGGGUGCGAGCGUUAAUCGGAUUUACUGGGCGUAAAGCGUGCGUAGGCGGCUUUUUAAGUCGGAUGUGAAAUCCCUGAGCUUAACUUAGGAAUUGCAUUCGAUACUGGGAAGCUAGAGUAUGGGAGAGGAUGGUAGAAUUCCAGGUGUAGCGGUGAAAUGCGUAGAGAUCUGGAGGAAUACCGAUGGCGAAGGCAGCCAUCUGGCCUAAUACUGACGCUGAGGUACGAAAGCAUGGGGAGCAAACAGGAUUAGAUACCCGUGUAGUCCCUGUCUCUUAUAC